rnacentral:rRNA from 1 species
GACAGAGGUGCCAAGCGUUAGGCGGAAUCACUGGGCUUAAAGCGUGUGUAGGCGGACUGGUAAGUACCUUGUGAAAUCCCACGGCUCAACCGUGGAACUGCUUGGUAUACUGGUUGUCUUGGGCCAUCUAGGGGCUACUGGAACAAACGGUGGAGCGGUGAAAUGCGUAGAUAUCGUUUGGAACGCCAAUGGUGAAAACAAGUAGCUGGGGAUGUGCCGACGCUGAGACACGAAAGCCAGGGGAGCGAACGGGG